CACUUUGCACCGCCGCCGCGCAGCGUCGCCACUGCUGGCAACACUGCUGAUGUUUGGCUGCUGAAGGUUUCAGCUGAGGGCUUUGCUCGGUUGUUGUGGUGAACCCAUCUAUUGUGUUCCUUUGAGGCUUUUAUGCCUGGUGGCCUGUCUGUCCAGUGCAGGCCAAUGCUGUGCAAGUGGUACGCUUCUCAGCUGUACUACUGCCUUUACCAUGUUCUCUUACUGGCUGCUAUCGUAGGAUCGCAUCCGUUGGCAUUUACCUCGCUGCCGUUCCACCUCAACGAAUGCUUCCAAAUGCCGUGCACUUUAACCGCGAACGUUCCCUACACGCAAUCACUUCCACACACAACGACAUCAACAGCCUAAACCGUUUUCAUCUAUCCUGCAUACCGCCAUCACCACCACCGCUGUUAUUACCUAGCACCACUACUAACACAUUUAUUUACAAGGCGACCCACUCUACGAAUCACGGCUCGUUGAUUUGCUGCCGAGGUUAACGACACCACCAUCUCACGAACCCCACUUAGUCUUGUAUACCUUCUACAUUAUCUUCUACUCUUUUUCUACAUUGUCCAGAGAUCGCUCAAUGGAAUGUAUCGAUAAUUGAUCUUUUUCAAAAGCCUUGAAGAGAUGGGUUAUGAAGUUGUCAGAUUUCAGGGGGAUGUUGAUGAAGAAUUGAUUUGUGCUAUUUGCAGUGGAGUCCUUGAGGAUCCACUCCAGGUAAGUUAAUUAACCAAAAAUAUUCAGUUUGUCCCU